AUUGAACGCUGGCGGCAGGCCUAACACAUGCAAGUCGAGCGUGCGGCGGACGGGUGAGUAAUGUAUGGGGACUGCCCGAUAGAGGGGGAUAACUACUGGAAACGGUAGCUAAUACCGCAUAAUAUCGGCUACCCCAUAUGGGAUUAGCUUGUGGGGGGGGUAAUGGCUCACCUAGGCGACGAUCCCUAGCUGGUCUGAGAGGAUGAUCAGCCACACUGGGACUGAGACACGGCCCAGACUCCUACGGAGGCAGCAGUGGGGAAUAUUGCACAAUGGGCGCAAGCCUGAGGCAGCCAUGCCGCGUGUAUGAAGAAGGCCCUAGGGUUGUAAAGUACUUUCAGUCGGGAGGCGUUACCGACAGAAGAAGCACCGGCUAACUCCGUGCCAGCAGCCGCGGUAAUUC
rnacentral:rRNA from 1 species